rnacentral:rRNA from 1 species
AUGGCGGAAGGCAAGAAGGAUUCUCCGAAGCUGAACCAGCGGAUGGUAUCAUCUCUCUCGAAGCGAACUGCCGCGGCACAUUCUUGGCAUGAUCUGGAGAUAGGACCUGAAGCCCCUCUGAUCUUCAACGCCGUUGUUGAGAUCACAAAGGGGAGCAAAGUCAAGUAUGAACUUGACAAGAAGACUGGGAUGAUAAAGGUUGACAGGAUUCUGUACUCGUCCGUAGUCUAUCCACAUAACUACGGUUUCGUACCACGGACGCUGUGUGAAGAUGGAGAUCCAAUUGACGUCUUGGUCCUGAUGCAGGAACCAGUCAUACCUGGUUGCUUUCUUCGAGCUAAGGCUAUUGGGCUGAUGCCCAUGAUUGAUCAGGGUGAGAAAGAUGAUAAGCUCAUUGCUGUUUGCGUUGAUGAUCCCGAGUACCGUCAUCUCAACGACCUUAAGGAGCUCUCUCCCCACCGCCUUGCUGAAAUCCGUCGCUUCUUCGAAGAUUACAAGAAGAAUGAGAACAAGGAGGUUGCUGUCAACGACUUCUUGCCACCGGAGACUGCACAGGCUGCCAUUAAGCACUCGAUGGACCUAUACGCAGAAUAUAUCCUGCAGAGUCUGAGGAACUAA